ensembl:snoRNA
UGCAAAUGAUGUUUUUUCUCACGAUGGUCUUCCAAGCCCUUUGGGUUCUGACGACAGUGCCUAAUGGCAAUGCUGAUGCAGUGAA